rnacentral:rRNA from 1 species
AGAGUUUGAUCAUGGCUCAGGACGAACGCUGGCGGCGUGCUUAACACAUGCAAGUCGAACGGAAAGGCCCUGCUUUUGUGGGGUGCUCGAGUGGCGAACGGGUGAGUAACACGUGAGUAACCUGCCCUUGACUUUGGGAUAACUUCAGGAAACUGGGGCUAAUACCGGAUAGGAGCUCCUGCUGCAUGGUGGGGGUUGGAAAGUUUCGGCGGUUGGGGAUGGACUCGCGGCUUAUCAGCUUGUUGGUGGGGUAGUGGCUUACCAAGGCUUUGACGGGUAGCCGGCCUGAGAGGGUGACCGGCCACAUUGGGACUGAGAUACGGCCCAGACUCCUACGGGAGGCAGCAGUGGGGAAUAUUGCACAAUGGGCGGAAGCCUGAUGCAGCAACGCCGCGUGCGGGAUGACGGCCUUCGGGUUGUAAACCGCUUUCGCCUGUGACGAAGCGUGAGUGACGGUAAUGGGUAAAGAAGCACCGGCUAACUACGUGCCAGCAGCCGCGGUGAUACGUAGGGUGCGAGCGUUGUCCGGAUUUAUUGGGCGUAAAGGGCUCGUAGGUGGUUGAUCGCGUCGGAAGUGUAAUCUUGGGGGCUUAACCCUGAGCGUGCUUUCGAUACGGGUUGACUUGAGGAAAGGUAGGGGAGAAUGGAAUUCCUGGUGGAGCGGUGGAAUGCGCAGAUAUCAGAGGAACACCAGUGGCGA